rfam:Aspergillus zonatus CBS 506.65 unplaced genomic scaffold ASPZOscaffold_10, whole genome shotgun sequence.
GCCCCUGUGGCGCAAUGGUUAGCGCGUCAGACUUCUAAUCUGAAGGUUCUCGGUUCGACCCCGAGUAGGGGCU